GAUGAACGCUGGCGGCGUGCCUAAUACAUGCAAGUCGAGCGAACAGACGAGGAGCUUGCUCCUCUGACGUUAGCGGCGGACGGGUGAGUAACACGUGGAUAACCUACCUAUAAGACUGGGAUAACUUCGGGAAACCGGAGCUAAUACCGGAUAAUAUAUUGAACCGCAUGGUUCAAUAGUGAAAGACGGUUUUGCUGUCACUUAUAGAUGGAUCCGCGCCGCAUUAGCUAGUUGGUAAGGUAACGGCUUAACAAGGCAACGAUGCGUAGCCGACCUGAGAGGGUGAUCGGCCACACUGGAACUGAGACACGGUCCAGACUCCUACGGGAGGCAGCAGUAGGGAAUCUUCCGCAAUGGGCGAAAGCCUGACGGAGCAACGCCGCGUGAGUGAUGAAGGUCUUCGGAUCGUAAAACUCUGUUAUUAGGGAAGAACAAAUGUGUAAGUAACUAUGCACGUCUUGACGGUACCUAAUCAGAAAGCCACGGCUAACUACGUG
rnacentral:rRNA from 1 species